UACAGAGGGGGCAAGCGUUGUUCGGAAUUACUGGGCGUAAAGGGCUCGUAGGCGGCCAACUAAGUCAUACGUGAAAUCCCUCGGCUUAACCGGGGAACUGCGUCUGAUACUGGAUGGCUUGAGUUCGGGAGAGGGAUGCGGAAUUCCAGGUGUAGCGGUGAAAUGCGUAGAUAUCUGGAGGAACACCGGUGGCGAAGGCGGCAUCCUGGACCGAUAUUGACGCUGAGGAGCGAAAGCCAGGGGAGCAAACGGG
rnacentral:rRNA from 1 species